rnacentral:tRNA from 2 species
ACCUCCAUAGCUCAAUGGAAAGAGCCACACUCUUCUAAAGUGUUCGUUCCAGGUUCGAGUCCUGGUGGAGGUG